rnacentral:rRNA from 1 species
UACCCGCAGCACAAGUGGUGGUCAUUAUUAUUGGGCCUAAAGCGUCCGUAGCUGGCCUGUUAGAUGCCUGGGUAAAUCGAUGCGCUCGACGUAUCGAACUCCGGGUAGACCGGCAGGCUUGGGACCGGGAGAGGCGUGAGCUACUCGGGGGGUAGGGGUAAAAUCCUGUAAUCCUCCGGGGAGGACCAGUGGCGAAGGCGUCACGCUAGAACGGCUCCGACAGUGAGGGACGAAGCCCUGGGGCGCAAACCGG